GAGUAAUGUCUGGGAAACUGCCUGAUGGAGGGGGAGUAACUACUGGAAACGGUAGCUAAUACCGCAUAACGUCGCAAGACCAAAGAGGGGGACCUUCGGGCCUCUUGCCAUCAGAUGUGCCCAGAUGGGAUUAGCUAGUAGGUGGGGUAACGGCUCACCUAGGCGACGAUCCCUAGCUGGUCUGAGAGGAUGACCAGCCACACUGGAACUGAGACACGGUCCAGACUACCUACGGGAGGCAGCAUG
rnacentral:rRNA from 1 species